rnacentral:ncRNA from 2 species
ACAUUCGCAGCGGGAGAAUCUGGUUUCCCAGUGCCGAAGGAGCAACCGCCCCGGUAAACUCUCAGGCAAACGGACCUCUGCGAACGA